rnacentral:lncRNA from 1 species
AAGAUGGCUGUAGCAUGUGGGGCUCAGAUUGGGCACCUGCUCUUCAGGGCUGCCUCCAGCACUGACAAAGUGGACAGUAGAGCUAUCAAGGACCCCGGCAUAGACUUUAACUACAUGGUCUGCAUGCUCUAGUGCAGUCCUACCCAAGGCAAGUUCAAGAGCUCCUUCAAGCGGAGGGCAGGAAGCCUGUGAUUAAGGACCUGUCUCCAUCCUCUAUGAGCAGCCCCCCUCCCAACUCCCCAUCCCCCGCCUGCGGCAUGCAACGGUAAUGAGCAGCGGAGACUACUAGAGCUGUCAGUGCCUUAGAGAAGCUGGGCUCCCUUGAAUGGUGGAGCCGCAGGGUCAGCGUGUUUGCCACUUCUGUGAAGUCUGUGUUUGUCGUGGGAGUCAGGAAUGAGAGCAGAGCUGCCACCAGACUCAGCAACACCUCCUGCACCAUGAGCCACUUGUCCUCCCUGCCCUCGAGCAACUUUAGCAAUGUUGGCAUCAUGGAGAGGCUCGGGACGACAGUCUACACCAUCCUGCCCUCCAGAAGACUUUGUGGCUAACUGUGGCAAGGUGGACAUGGAGCUGCUCAAAUGCCAAGGCAGCAGGCAAGGCCCUCCCUGAACUGAGUGGGAUGCUCACUGGCACAGCUUUCUGUGCCCCCACUGAGCUGACCUGCCUGUCUGGAGAAAUAUACCAAACACAGUGACACCAAGAAGGUGGCCCAGUGGGUGUCAGAGACCCCUACUAAGACUCUUGCUUCCCUAAGAACAGGUUGUUUUCUGGGACUUGAAUGGUGGCACACACCCACUCCCCCAGCCUUGGUCUUGGGCUGGCACUGCUCUCAAUGAUCCCUUUAUCCAGCCCAUUCCCUCGCAUGAUAAUGCAUUUGGCCACAGCAGCCUCUUUGUGGACCUCACAGUUCUCAUGGCCUCCAGG